UACGUAGGGAGCAAGCGUUGUCCGGAAUCAUUGGGCGUAAAGCGCGCGUAGGUGGCCUCAUAAGUCCGCUGUGAAAGUCAAAGGCUCAACCUUUGAAAGCCGGUGGAUACUGUGAGGCUAGAGUACGGAAGAGGCGAGUGGAAUUCCUGGUGUAGCGGUGAAAUGCGCAGAUAUCAGGAGGAGCACCGGUGGCGAAGGCGGGUCUCUGGGCAACAACUGACGCUGAGGAGCGAAAGCGUGGGGAGCGAACAGG
rnacentral:rRNA from 1 species